rnacentral:rRNA from 1 species
CCUACGGGUGGCAGCAGUGAGGAAUAUUGGUCAAUGGACGAGAGUCUGAACCAGCCAAGUAGCGUGAAGGAUGACUGCCCUAUGGGUUGUAAACUUCUUUUAUAUGGGAAUAAAAUGUUCCACGUGUGGGAUUUUGUAUGUACCAUAUGAAUAAGGAUCGGCUAACUCCGUGCCAGCAGCCGCGGUAAUACGGAGGAUCCGAGCGUUAUCCGGAUUUAUUGGGUUUAAAGGGAGCGUAGGUGGAUUGUUAAGUAAGUUGUGAAAGUUUGCGGCUCAACCGUAAAAUUGCAGUUGAAACUGGCAGUCUUGAGUACAGUAGAGGUGGGCGGAAUUCGUGGUGUAGCGGUGAAAGGCUUAGAUAUCACGAAGAACUCCGAUUGCGAAGGCAGCUCACUGGACUGCAACUGACACUGAGGCUCGAAAGUGUGGGUAUCAAACAGGAUUAGAUACCCUAGUAGUC